rnacentral:rRNA from 1 species
UACGGGGGGGGCAAGCGUUGUUCGGAAUUACUGGGCGUAAAGGGCUCGUAGGUGGCCAACUAAGUCAGACGUGAAAUCCCUCGGCUUAACCGGGGAACUGCGUCUGAUACUGGAUGGCUUGAGUUUGGGAGAGGGACGCGGAAUUCCAGGUGUAGCGGUGAAAUGCGUAGAUAUCUGGAGGAACACCGGUGGCGAAGGCGGCGCCUCGGACCGA